UUCGGGGUACUCGAGUGGCGAACGGGUGAGUAACACGUGGGUGAUCUGCCCUGCACUUUGGGAUAAGCCUGGGAAACUGGGUCUAAUACCGAAUAGGACCACGCGCUUCAUGGUGUGUGGUGGAAAGCUUUUGCGGUGUGGGAUGGGCCCGCGGCCUAUCAGCUUGUUGGUGGGGUAAUGGCCUACCAAGGCGACGACGGGUAGCCGGCCUGAGAGGGUGACCGGCCACACUGGGACUGAGAUACGGCCCAGACUCCUACGGGAGGCAGCAGUGGGGAAUAUUGCACAAUGGGCGCAAGCCUGAUGCAGCGACGCCGCGUGAGGGAUGACGGCCUUCGGGUUGUAAACCUCUUUCAAUAGGGACGAAGCGCAAGUGACGGUACCUAUAGAAGAAGCACCGGCCAACUACGUGCCAGCAGCCGCGGUAAUACGUAGGGUGCGAGCGUUGUCCGGAAUUACUGGGCGUAAAGAGCUCGUAGGUGGUUUGUCGCGUUGUUCGUGAAAACUCACAGCUUAACUGUGGGCGUGCGGGCGAUACGGGCAGACUAGAGUACUGCAGGGGAGACUGGAAUUCCUGGUGUAGCGGUGGAAUGCGCAGAUAUCAGGAGGAACACCGGUGGCGAAGGCGGGUCUCUGGGCAGUAACUGACGCUGAGGAGCGAAAGCGUGGGGAGCGAACAGGAUUAGAUACCCUGGUAGUCCACGCCGUAAACGGUGGGUACUAGGUGUGGGUUCCUUCCUUGGGAUCCGUGCCGUAGCUAACGCAUUAAGUACCCCGCCUGGGGAGUACGGCCGCAAGGCUAAAACUCAAAGGAAUUGACGGGGGCCCGCACAAGCGGCGGAGCAUGUGGAUUAAUUCGAUGCAACGCGAAGAACCUUACCUGGGUUUGACAUGCACAGGACGCCGGCAGAGAUGUCGGUUCCCUUGUGGCCUGUGUGCAGGUGGUGCAUGGCUGUCGUCAGCUCGUGUCGUGAGAUGUUGGGUUAAGUCCCGCAACGAGCGCAACCCUUGUCCUAUGUUGCCAGCGGGUUAUGCCGGGGACUCGUAGGAGACUGCCGGGGUCAACUCGGAGGAAGGUGGGGAUGACGUCAAGUCAUCAUGCCCCUUAUGUCCAGGGCUCACACAUGCUACAAUGGCCGGUACAAAGGGCUGCGAUGCCGUGAGGUGGAGCGAAUCCUUUCAAAGCCGGUCUCAGUUCGGAUCGGGGUCUGCAACUCGACCCCGUGAAGUCGGAGUCGCUAGUAAUCGCAGAUCAGCAACGCUGCGGUGAAUACGUUCCCGGGCCUUGUACACACCGCCCGUCACGUCAUGAAAGUCGGUAACACCCGAAGCCGGU
rnacentral:rRNA from 1 species